rnacentral:piRNA from 1 species
UCUUGUUCAUUGGAGUCAAGCGAGUGCCA